rnacentral:rRNA from 1 species
CCUACGGGAGGCAGCAGUGGGGAAUCUUGCGCAAUGGGCGAAAGCCUGACGCAGCAACGCCGCGUGCGGGAAGAAGGCCUUCGGGUUGUAAACCGCUUUCAGAAGGAACGAAAAUGACGGUACUUUCAGAAGAAGGUGUGGCCAACUACGUGCCAGCAGCCGCGGUGACACGUAGGCACCAAGCGUUGUCCGGAUUUAUUGGGCGUAAAGAGCUCGUAGGCGGUUCGGUAAGUCGGGUGUGAAAACUUUGGGCUCAACCCAAAGCGUGCAUUCGAUACUGUCGUGACUAGAGUUCGGUAGGGGAGCGGGGAAUUCCUAGUGUAGCGGUGAAAUGCGCAGAUAUUAGGAGGAACACCGGUGGCGAAGGCGCCGCUCUGGGCCGAAACUGACGCUGAGGAGCGAAAGCGUGGGUAGCAAACAGGAUUAGAUACCCUGGUAGUCCACGCCGUAAACGUUGGGCACUAGGUGUGGGUCUCAACCAACGAGAUCCGCGCCGUCGCAACGCAUUAAGUGCCCGCCUGGGGAGUACGGCCGCAGGUUAAACUCAAAGGAAUUGACGG